ACUAUAAUAAUUUAUAUAAAAUAUUGAUUUUGUAAAUCAGGUAAAAUGAUUCAUUUUAUAGUU
rnacentral:tRNA from 1 species